rnacentral:lncRNA from 1 species
GGAGCUCGAAGGACCUCUUUCUCUAGCUUUUAUCCACCACAUUCGCGUCUAGAUACUUCCCUAGCCUCGAGCUAGUGGUCACGACGCUAGAUAAGCAACUCCGGUGAAGUUUACGAUGCAGGAACGCAAAGUUGUGACAGGAUGGAUCUUGGGCGCAAGUGUUGUAACUAGAAGUAGACUACAAGUUUAGAUGUCAUCCACUUUUGUUGAAUUGUA